CGGUAAUACGUAGGGUGCGAGCGUUAUCCGGAAUUAUUGGGCGUAAAGAGCUCGUAGGCGGUUUGUCGCGUCUGUCGUGAAAGUCCGGGGCUUAACCCCGGAUCUGCGGUGGGUACGGGCAGACUAGAGUGCAGUAGGGGAGACUGGAAUUCCUGGUGUAGCGGUGGAAUGCGCAGAUAUCAGGAGGAACACCGAUGGCGAAGGCAGGUCUCUGGGCUGUAACUGACGCUGAGGAGCGAAAGCAUGGGGAGCGAACAGGAUUAGAUACCCUGGUAGUCCAUGCCGUAAACGUUGGGCACUAGGUGUGGGGACCAUUCCACGGUUUCCGCGCCGCAGCUAACGCAUUAAGUGCCCCGCCUGGGGAGUACGGCCGCAAGGCUAAAACUCAAAGGAAUUGACGGGGGCCCGCACAAGCGGCGGAGCAUGCGGAUUAAUUCGAUGCAACGCGAAGAACCUUACCAAGGCUUGACAUGUUCUCGAUCGCCGUAGAGAUACGGUUUCCCCUUUGGGGCGGGUUCACAGGUGGUGCAUGGUUGUCGUCAGCUCGUGUCGUGAGAUGUUGGGUUAAGUCCCGCAACGAGCGCAACCCUCGUUCCAUGUUGCCAGCACGUCGUGGUGGGGACUCAUGGGAGACUGCCGGGGUCAACUCGGAGGAAGGUGAGGACGACGUCAAAUCAUCAUGCCCCUUAUGUCUUGGGCUUCACGCAUGCUACAAUGGCCGGUACAAUGGGUUGCGAUACUGUGAGGUGGAGCUAAUCCCAAAAAGCCGGUCUCAGUNCGGAUUGGGNUNUGCAACUCGACCCC
rnacentral:rRNA from 1 species